UCGGGGUGCAGCAGGCGCGAAAACUUUACAAUGCGGGGAACCGUGAUAAGGGAACUCCGAGUGCCCGUAAAAUCGGGCUGUCCAUCUGUUUAAAUAACAGGUGAAGAAAGGGCCGGGCAAGACCGGUGCCAGCCGCCGCGGUAAUACCGGCGGCUCGAGUGGUGGCCACUAUUACUGGGCUUAAAGCGUUCGUAGCUGGUCUGUUAAGUCUCUGGGGAAAUCUACUGGCUUAACCAAUAGGCGUUUCAGGGAUACUGGCAGACUAGGGACCGGGAGAGGUGAGGGGUACUCCAGGGGUAGGAGUGAAAUCCUGUAAUCCUUGGGGGACCACCUGUGGCGAAGGCGCCUCACCAGAACGGCUCCGACAGUGAGGGACGAAAGCUGGGGGAGCAAACCGGAUUAGAUACCCGGGUAGUCCCAGCCGUAAACGAUGCGCGUUAGGUGUAUCGGUGACCACGAGUCACCGAGGUGCCGAAGAGAAAUCGUGAAACGUGCCGCCUGGGAAGUACGGUCGCAAGGCUGAAACUUAAAGGAAUUGGCGGGGGAGCAC
rnacentral:rRNA from 1 species